UUGGAACGCUGGGCGGAUGCUUUACACAUGCAAGUCGAACGGCAGCACGGACUUCGGUCUGGUGGCGAGUGGCGAACGGGUGAGUAAUGCGCCGGAACGUAUCCAGUAGAGGGGGAUAACGCAGCGAAAGCUGUGCUAAUACCGCAUACGCCCUGAGGGGGAAAGCAUGGGAUCUUCGGACCGUGCGUUAUUGGAGCGGCCGACGUCUGAUUAGCUAGUAGGUGAGGUAAAGGCUCACCUAGGCGAUGAUCAGUAGCUGGUCUGAGAGGAUGAUCAGCCACACUGGAACUGAGAGACGGUCCAGACUCCUACGGGAGGCAGCAGUGGGGAAUUUUGGACAAUGGGCGCAAGCCUGAUCCAGCCAUUCCGCGUGAGUGAAGAAGGCCUUCGGGUUGUAAAGCUCUUUCGGCAGGGAAGAAAAGGUAUUGGUUAAUAGCUGAUACUGCUGACGGUACCUGAAGAAGAAGCACCGGCUAACUACGUGCCAGCAGCCGCGGUAAUACGUAGGGUGCGAGCGUUAAUCGGAAUUACUGGGCGUAAAGGGUGCGCAGGCGGCUCUGUAAGUCUGACGUGAAAUCCCCGGGCUUAACCUGGGAACUGCGUUGGAAACUGUAGAGCUAGAGUGUAGCAGAGGGGGGUAGAAUUCCACGUGUAGCAGUGAAAUGCGUAGAGAUGUGGAGGAAUACCGAUGGCGAAGGCACCCCCUGGGGUUAACACUGACGCUCAUGCACGAA
rnacentral:rRNA from 1 species